AACAGCGCUAUGGGUCACAUGGACAGCGCUAUGGGGCACCUGGUGCCGUGGGGCACAGCGCUAUGGGGCACAAUGUUGGCACUGUGGGGUGGGUGCCGUGGGGCACGGUGCUAUGGGGCACGUGGACGGUACUGUGGGGUGUGGGGUGCCAUGCUGUGGGGUACACGGACAGCGCUAUGGGGCACAGCGCUGUGGGGCACACAGUGCUGUGAGGCGGGUGCUAUGGGGCGGCUGUUGUGGGGUGAGGGGUGCAACGGUGUGGGGCACAGCGCUGUGGGGCACAUGAAGCUGUGGGGCACGCGGUGCUACGGGGUGGAAGGAUGUUGUGGGGCACGGAGGUGACGCUGUGGGGCACAGGGGUGGCGCUGUGGGGCAGAAGGAUGGCGCUGUGGGGCACAGAGUGACACUGCUGUGGGCUACGGGGAUGGUGCUGUGGGGCACAAGGAAGGCGCUGUGGGGCACAGGGAUGGCGCUAUGGGGCACAGAGACAUUGAUAUGGGGCAGAAGGAUGGCGCUGUGGGGCACAGAGAGCUAUGGGGCAGGAGGAAGGCACUAUGGGGCACGGUGACGGCGCUAUGGGGCAGAAGGAACGUGCUAUGGGGCAGAGUGGCGGCGCUGUGGGGCAGAGUGGCGGCGCUGUGGGGCACGGUGACGUUCGGAGGUGACACGGGGGUGUCCCCCGGCGGCGUCACGUGACGUCAUCGCCCAGCGGUGUCCUCCGGCGGCGUCACGUGACGCCGUCACACGUUGGUGUCCCCCGGCGGUGUCACGUGACACGCUGUCACGCAGCGCUGUCCCCUCCCCCCCCCCAUCCCCGCAGUGCCUCCGGCGGCCAGCAGGGCGACCCGGGGGGGGGGGACAUCAGUGGGGACAUCCCUUGGUGACACCCAUUUGGGGACACCUUUGGGGACACCAGUUUGGAUGUCACCCCUUGGGGACAUCAGUGGGGACGCACUCGGGGACACCAUUUGGGGACACCAAUGGGGACAUCCCUUGGUGACACCCGUUUGGGGACACCCGUUUGGGGACAGCCGUUUGGGGACAUUGUUGUCAUCGGGGUCAGCAGUGCUGGUGGUGGCCUUGGGGAUGGCAGUGGGGACACUGGUGGUGGCACUGGGGACGUUGGGGGCAUCACUGGGGACAGCAGUGGGGGCAUCGGGGACAACACUGGGGACACUGGGGACAGCAGCGGGGACCGCAGUGCCGGUGGUGGUGGCCACUGAGUCACAGGGUGGAGCGGGGGGGCGACACGGGUGGGACCCCCAGUGCCUCCCAGUGCCUCCCAGUUUGCCCUCAGUUCCUCCCCAGUUCCCCCCCCAGCUCCCAGUUUCUUCCCAGUUCCCCCUUCCACCCCCCCCCAGCUCCCAGAGGGACACAGAGGGGACAUGGGGGGACACAGAGGGGACAUGGGGGGGACACGGGGGGGGACUUG
rnacentral:lncRNA from 1 species